rnacentral:misc_RNA from 1 species
AUUUAAGCUACAGAGGAAAUUGGUGGAUUUUUUAGGAGAUGGUAUAGCCAUGUAUAGAUUAGUUGUGAUAGGUGGUAAAAAUGUGAAGUUGACAUCUUAGGAGGGGUAAGAUUCUUCUAAAUGUCCAGGAGGAACUCCUUCAUGAAAUGGGAAAUAAUUAUUUUUCAAAAUGCAUUAAAUAAAGACAGCUGAGAAGACUUGUAUGAAAAGCAUUCUACUUUGAAGCUUUGGAUGCUUAUAUCAUUUUCUUUGCUAAUAGUAAUUUAAGACAAAAAUAUAAAAUGUCAACUUGUUGGUCAUAUAUACUCAUCAUAUAUUUCUGUCACAUUUCAUCCCUUCCCCCCUUCUUUUCCUUGAUUUUUAAAUUCAGGCCAUGUUUAUGUUAGUUGUUG